rnacentral:misc_RNA from 1 species
UUCUGUACAAUUUUAUACAUUGUACGGACGUUUUAAGAUUGCAAAUAUUCGUCCACACACCCCAACAAAAUAAAUAAAUAACUAAAAUGCUACCUGUCCAAAGAAUUUACUUGUGGAAAUUUGAGACACACACAAAUAUGAAGAAAGUGCUCAGGAUUCUUCAAAUUAUUCACUACCCAAGAGAAGGGUAUCUCAAGUUUUGGUUCAAUCCCUUGAAUGCGGACAAGUUUAAUUUCAGCAGCAC